CUUGGUCAUUUAGAGGAAGUAAAAGUCGUAACAAGGUUUCCGUAGGUGAACCUGCGGAAGGAUCAUUAUCGGGAGUGCCCUCGUGGCUUAACCUGCAACCCCAUGUUUUUAAAACCCUUGUUUCUUUGGCGGGUUCGCCCGUCAGAAGAAUUCUCAAACUCGUUAUAAACGUGUCAUCUGAAUAACCAUAAAAAUAAAUUAAAACUUUCAACAACGGAUCUCUUGGUUCUGGCAUCGAUGAAGAACGCAGCGAAAUGCGAUAAGUAAUGUGAAUUGCAGAAUUCAGUGAAUCAUCGAAUCUUUGAACGCACAUUGCGCCCUUUGGCAUUCCGAAGGGCAUGCCUGUUCGAGCGUCAUUAUAACCACUCAAGCCUAGCUUGGUAUUGGGGUUCGCGUGUUCGCGGCCCUUAAAAUCAGUGGCGGUGCCGUCUGGCUCUAAGCGUAGUAAUUUCUCUCGCUAUAGGGUUCCGGUGGUUACUUGCCAAAACCCCCCAUUUUUCUAGGUUGACCUCGGAUCAGGUAGGGAUACCCGCUGAACUUAAGCAUAUCAAUAAGCGGAGGA
rnacentral:rRNA from 1 species